UACGUAGGGGGCGAGCGUUGUCCGGAUUUAUUGGGCGUAAAGAGCUCGUAGGCGGUUCGAUAAGUCGGAUGUGAAAUCUCCACGCUUAACGUGGAGGGUGCAUUCGAUACUGUCGUGACUAGAGUCCGGUAGAGGAGUGUGGAAUUCCUGGUGUAGCGGUGAAAUGCGUAGAUAUCGGGAGGAACACCUGUGGCGAAAGCGGCGCACUGGACCACAACUGACGCUGAGGCGCGAAAGCUAGGGGAGCAAACAGG
rnacentral:rRNA from 1 species